GGAGAAAUAGCUCAGCAGUCAAGAGCACUGGCUGCUCUUCCAGUGGUCCUGAGUUCAAUUCCCAGCAACCCCA
rnacentral:tRNA from 1 species